rnacentral:SRP_RNA from 1 species
UUACUGAGCCGUUACAACAUGGAUUGCUAAUCGUGUCAGGAUAGAAAUAUAGCAGCACUACGCUUGAUUCUUGUGUGUAACGGUUUUUUAUUUCAUU